GAUGAACGCUGGCGGCGUGCUUAACACAUGCAAGUCGAACGAUGAAGCCCAGCUUGCUGGGUGGAUUAGUGGCGAACGGGUGAGUAACACGUGAGUAACCUGCCCUUGACUCUGGGAUAAGCGCUGGAAACGGCGUCUAAUACCGGAUACGAGCUUCCACCGCAUGGUGAGUUGCCGGAAAGAAUUUCGGUCAAGGAUGGACUCGCGGCCUAUCAGGUAGUUGGUGAGGUAACGGCUCGCCAAGCCGACGACGGGUAGCCGGCCUGAGAGGGUGACCGGCCACACUGGGACUGAGACACGGCCCAGACUCCUACGGGAGGCAGCAGUGGGGAAUAUUGCACAAUGGGCGCAAGCCUGAUGCAGCAACGCCGCGUGAGGGACGAAGGCCUUCGGGUCGUAAACCUCUUUUAGCAGGGAAGAAGCGAAAGUGACGGUACCUGCAGAAAAAGCACCGGCUAACUACGUG
rnacentral:rRNA from 1 species